rnacentral:sRNA from 1 species
UAUAUUUGUCCUUUGGGUCUGGAAGAGAGAUGAUGCUGUGAAAACUAGCAAGAUUAUUUUAAUGAACAAGGGAAGACUCAUUGCCAAGGGUUAAAUAAAAAAUAAAUGGAGUUUUUAGUGACUUCAUUAGAAAUAAUGAUUUUAUUGUGUUUAGUUGCCUCUGAUUAACCUUGUUGCAUAUCUUUCAGUUACUAAUAAGCUGCUGCCUAGUGGAUUUUAUAUAAAGAUGCUUACUGUAGUUUUUAAAGGUGGUGUUGUAGAGUGAUUUUACUUCAUGUGAUGCCAGGUUUACACUUUUGAACUUGCUAUCAGAGAAAGAAAUAGGCGAAGAACAGUUUGUUUUGUAUAAUGUGUCCUUAGUAUAUUAGGAGCUAGGAAAUGCAAGCCCAUACUAAAAAAGAAAGGCAGUUGAUGAAGUGACAGAAUUCUUUAUCAUCUUUCUUUUGUUUAUUUACAGCUACACUAAAAAUCAACAAUGAGAUUAGAAGUGUGAAAAGAUUGCAGCUGCUACCAGAAUCUUUUAUUUGCAAAGAGAAACUAGGGGAAAAUGUAGCCAACAUAUACAAAGA